rnacentral:rRNA from 1 species
GCGACGCCGCGUGAGUGAUGAAGGCCUUCGGGUUGUAAAGCUCUGUGGGGAGAGACGAAUAAGUGCCGGCUAAUACCUUGCAUGAUGACGGUAUCUCCUUAGCAAGCACCGGCUAACUCUGUGCCAGCAGCCGCGGUAAGACAGAAGGUGCAAACGUUGUUCGGAAUUACUGGGCGUAAAGCGAGUGUAGGCGGUUUCGUAAGUCGGAUGUGAAAACCCCGGGCUCAACCCGGGAAGUGCACUCGAUACUGCGAAGCUUGAGUACUGGAGAGGUGGGUGGAAUUCUCGGUGUAUAGGUGAAAUUCCUAAAUGUCAAGAGGAACACCGGCGGCUAAAGCGGCCCUCUGGACCGAUACUGACGCUAACACUCGAAAGCGUGGGGAGCGAACAGGAUUACAUACCCUGGUAGUCCACGCCUUAGACGAUGGGUGCUAGGUGUCCCGGGCUUUGACUCCUGCGGUGCCGUACCUCACGCAUUAAACACCCCGCCGGGUAAGUACCGCCGCAAGGCUAAGACUCCCAGGAAUUGACGGGAGCCCGCACAAGCGGUGGAGCAUGCGGUUUAAUUCUACGCAACGC